GGAAGUUAAGAAACUGUUUCUUAACUUUUAACUAAAAAAAGUAAGAACCGGUUCUUAAAGUCCUUAUUUAAGAACCGGUUCUUAGUUUUUUUAGUUAAAAGUUAAAAAACAGUUUCUUAACUUCA
rnacentral:pre_miRNA from 1 species